rnacentral:rRNA from 1 species
AACGAACGCUGGCGGCGCGUCUUAAGCAUGCAAGUCGAACGGCAUGAGGAAGCUUGCUUCCUCAGAGAGUGGCGGACUGGUGAGUAACACGUGGGUGACCUACCCUUGAGAUGGGGAUAGCCAUUAGAAAUAGUGGAUAAUACCGAAUACGCUCUACGGACUCUGGUUUGUAGAGGAAACAGGCUACGGCCUGGCUCGAGGAUGGGCCCGCGUCCCAUUAGCUAGUUGGUGAGGUAAGAGCCCACCAAGGCGACGAUGGGUAUCCGGCCUGAGAGGGUGAACGGCCACACUGGGACUGAGACACGGCCCAGACUCCUACGGGAGGCAGCAGUAGGGAAUAUUGCGCAAUGGGCGGAAGCCUGACGCAGCGACGCCGCGUGAGCGAAGAAGGCCUUCGGGUCGUAAAGCUCUGUCCUUGGGGAAGAAGGCGAAAGCUUGACGGUACCCAAGAAGAAAGCCCCGGCUAACUACGUG